CCCUUAGACGUUCUGGGCCGCACGCGCGCUACACUGACGAAGGCAACGAGCUUUCCUUUACCGAAAGGUACGGGUAAUCUUUUGAAACUUCGUCGUGCUGGGGAUAGAUCCUUGCAAUUUUUGAUCUUAAACGAGGAAUGCCUAGUAAACGCAAGUCAUCAACUUGCGUUGAUUACGUCCCUGCCCUUUGUACACACCGCCCGUCGCUACUACCGAUUGAAUGGUUUAGUGAGGCCUUCGGAUCCGCGACUCGUUUUGUGGAGAAGUUGGACAAACUCAGUCAUUUAGAGGAAGUAAAAGUCGUAACA
rnacentral:rRNA from 1 species